GCAAUCUGGCCACAACAUCUGUCACCCCUUUGGUCGCCAGAGUCCACUCCCCUGACCUGGCUGGCUAGGCGGGUGUCUCUUUUUCCCUCCAUGUGAGCUCCUCCAGAAGCUGCGAGCUGGGUUGAAGAGGAUGACCACCCCCGAUAGAGGAGGGCCUUUUCCUAGGUCAAGGGUAUAUGAGUAGCCACACUCCCCUGCUAGAACCUCCAAACAAGCUCUCAAGAUCCUAGACUGAAUAUUCUUAACCCCUCAGUAAUAAAGAAAAGAUAAUAUAUUUAUGU
rnacentral:snRNA from 1 species